rnacentral:rRNA from 1 species
AUGACACAAACUCUUAAAGAUUAUGGAAUACAUGUGAGAUGUGUUCCCUUGCUUUGUGACAAUGAGAGUGCCAUUAAGAUUGGACACAACCCUGUGCAACAUUCUCAAAUAAAGCAUAUUGAAUUUCGUCACCAUUUCAUUCGUGAUCAUAUUGCCAAGGGUGACAUCAAUCUUAAGCAUGUUCUUACCUACAAGCAAUUAGCCGAUAUCUUCACAAAACCUCUUGAUGAGAAGGUGUUUUGUCGUUUGAGGAGUGAGUUGAACAUCAUUGAUGCUUCAAACUUGGAGUUAGAACUCCAUUGA